GGAGCAACGGAGCGCGAGACAUGGUGGUGCUGCACGUGAAAUCGUCGACCUCCUCCUCGUCCUCGUCCCCGUCCCCGCCCCCGCCGGAGGUAGAGGAGGAGAUUGAGUUCCUGUACGAGUGCGCCGCCACCGCCGCCGUCGCGGACGUGGCGGCCGCGCUCGCGGGCACCGCCGGCCUCCAGGCCCGCGUCCUCUCCCUCUGCCGCCGCCUCCGAGAGAGGUGCCCGAGCGGCGAGCUGGAGAGGGCUCUGUCGGAGGCCGAAGCCUACGCCUCCAAGGUACAAGUACGUCAUAACAAAUUCGUGUCCCCUCGUGCUCUAAGGGAACAUAUCAAGAAUAUUGAAAAGACAGCUGCUAAUGCUCUAGCAGACAAUUCGGAGGCCCUCUGUCCGCAACAUCCAAAAUCAGAUGAAAAGCGUGACAGCAUACAACUUUGGUGGGCUGGAAAAGAGCUAGCUAUGGAUAAGAAGCUAUCUGACUAUAUUGGUGUUAAUGACAAAACAAAGAUUGUCAUCAGGCUAAGCCUCCCAACGAGCCUUUAGUGUGGUCCUGUCGGUCGUUGAUAUUGCCUAUUACUCCCUCUGUAUCAAAAUACAAAACAUUUUUUUAUACUCCCUUUGUAUCAAAAAAGAGUAUUGAAAAACGUCUUAUGUUUUGAUAGAGGGAGUAGUGAUUUUUUCUUUUGAGUAGUAUAUGCAUUUAUGCAAAUUAGGCACAUGUAAGUUGUUUGCAUUUUCGUGAGAAAACAAACAGGCACCAUCUUCAGCUUCAUGUACCAAUAGACAACAUGUAUCAACAGGUUAAAACAGUCACAGUAUAAUCACUGAAUGUUUCAUUGUACAAUGUUCAAAGGUAUUUCUGGGCAUCAAGCUGUGAGUGAGUAAUACAUUUGAUCAUGAUUCAACUCUGUGUGUACAAUAAGACUAGCUAAGAGAGAAAAUUGCAUUUCCUGCUAAAUGAUCAUCACUCGUAUGAUCUUUUGAAGCUGGGAGGAGUAUGCAAUCUGGUGGUAGACAAACUCAUUGUGCAAAUUGCUUGUUAUUCAGAAUGGUGCCCUGAUUAUAUUUUCUCGUGUCCAGAGAAGUAGUCCAACUUAUCUAGCAUUGCAGCAACUGCCUACAUGAUGGCCCCGCCUGAACAUGUCUGCACCGUUUAUCUUCAAUCUGGUUCAACUUUUGCUGUUGUAUUUAGCUUGCUUGUCCUCACAUGGAUGUCUCUUGAGCUCCAAUGAACAAACACGCUCUGAGCAGCAAAAAGUGAAGCAUUUUUUGGGUAUCUAGGUUUCUUAUCACUGAGCAGAUAGACUGUGCCACAUUGCAGGAAGGCUACAGGCAUCUUAAGCAGACGGAGGAGUCAGGACUCAGGCAAAACCUACACUGUUCAGGAUUCAGCAACCAGCCAAGGAACAUAUCAAGAAUAUUGAAAAAACAGCUGCUAGUGCUCUACAAGAGACUUCAGAGGCCUUGUGUACACAACAUCCAAAAUCAGAUGAAAAGCUUGACAGCAUACAACUUUGGUGGCCUGGAAAAGAGCUAGCUAUGGAUAAGAAGCUAUCGGACUAUAUUGGUGUUAAUGAUAAAACAAAGAUUGUCAUCAGGCUAAGCCUCCCAAUGAACCCUUAG
rnacentral:rRNA from 1 species